UUGGGAACACUGAUAAACCCAGAGGCGAAAUGAAAGUGAAAGGCCGGCCUCGAGCCGGUCGCAGGGAAGAUGCGCGGGCGUCGUCAGACGCCCCGCCGCAUUCCCGAGGCGUUUCGAGAAAGCCCCCGUGCGAUUAUCGAGACGCACUGAGAGCGUACACGCUGGGACCCGAAAGAUGGUGAACUAUGCCUGGUCAGGUCGAAGUCAGGGGAAACCCUGAUGGAGGACCGAAGCGAUUCUGACGUGCAAAUCGAUCGUCCGAACUGGGUAUAGGGGCGAAAGACUAAUCGAACUAUCUAAUAGCUGGUUCCAUCCGAAGUUUCCCUCAGGAUAGCUGGCGCUCGAGAAACAUGACGGUCCUCGGAUCGCCAUUCGCACAGUCUCAUCCGGUAAAGCGAAUGAUUAGAGGCAUUGGGGCCGAAAUGGCCUCAACCUAUUCUCAAACUUUAAAUGGGUGAGAUCUCCUUCUUGCUCGAAGAUGAAGUAGGAGCUCGGAUGGGAGUGCCAAGUGGGCCAAUUUUGGUAAGCAGAACUGGCGCUGUGGGAUGAACCAAACGUCGAGUUAAGGCGCCCAAUGAACGCUCAUCGGAUACCAUAAAAGGCGUUGGUCGCUCAGGACAGCAGGACGGUGGCCAUGGAAGUCGGA
rnacentral:rRNA from 10 species